UACGGAGGGUGCGAGCGUUGUCCGGAAUUACUGGGCGUAAAGCGCACGUAGGCGGCUUUGUAAGUCAGAGGUGAAAUCCCGGGGCUCAACUCCGGAACUGCCUUUGAGACUGCAUCGCUUGAAUCCAGGAGAGGUGAGUGGAAUUCCGAGUGUAGAGGUGAAAUUCGUAGAUAUUCGGAAGAACACCAGUGGCGAAGGCGGCUCACUGGACUGGUAUUGACGCUGAGGUGCGAAAGCGUGGGGAGCAAACAGG
rnacentral:rRNA from 1 species